CCUACGGGCGUCAGCAGUGGGGAAUAUUGCACAAUGGGGGAAACCCUGAUGCAGCGACGCCGCGUGAGUGACGGCGGCAUUAGUUAUGUAAAGCUCUAUCAGCCGGGAAGAAAAUGACGGUACCUGAGUAAGAAUCCCCGGCUAACUACGUGCAAGCUCCCGCGGUGAUACGCAGGGGGCAAGCGUUAUCCGGAUUUACUGGGUGUAAAGGGGGCGUAGACGGCAGCGCAAGUCUGGAGUGAAAGGCGCGGGCUCAACCCCCGGACUGCUCUGGAUACUGUACGGCUGGAGUGCAGGAGAGGUAAGUGGAAUUCCUGGUGUAGCGGUGAAAUGCGUAGAUAUUAGGAGGAACACCAGUGGCGAAGGCGGCUUACUGGACUGUAACUGACGUUGAGGCUCGAAAGCGUGGGGAGCAAACAGGAUUAGAUACCCCGGUAGUC
rnacentral:rRNA from 1 species